rnacentral:rRNA from 1 species
GGUGAGUAACACGUGGGCAACCUGCCUGUAAGACUGGGAUAACUUGCGGAAACGUGAGCUAAUACCGGAUAAUUUCUUUCUUCRCAUGGAGAGAGGUUGAAAGACGGCUUUGCUGUCACUUACAGAUGGGCCCGCGGCGCAUUAGCUAGUUGGUGAGGUAACGGCUCACCAAGGCGACGAUGCGUAGCCGACCUGAGAGGGUGAUCGGCCACACUGGGACUGAGACACGGCCCAGACUCCUACGGGAGGCAGCAGUAGGGAAUCUUCCGCAAUGGACGAAAGUCUGACGGAGCAACGCCGCGUGAGUGAAGAAGGUCUUCGGAUCGUAAAACUCUGUUAUCAGGGAAGAAUAAGUACCGUGUAACUARCGGUACCUUGACGGUACCUGACCAGAAAGCCACGGCUAACUACGUGCCAGCAGCCGCGGUAAUACGUAGGUGGCAAGCGUUGUCCGGAAUUAUUGGGCGUAAAGCGCGCGCAGGCGGUUCUUUAAGUCUGAUGUGAAAUCUUGCGGCUCAACCGUGAGCGGUCAUUGGAAACUGGAGAACUUGAGUGCAGAAGAGAAGAGCGGAAUUCCACGUGUAGCGGUGAAAUGCGUAGAGAUGUGGAGGAACACCAGUGGCGAAGGCGGCUCUUUGGUCUGUAACUGACGCUGAGGCGCGAAAGCGUGGGGAGCGAACAGGAUUAGAUACCCUGGUAGUCCACGCC